CCUACGGGAGGCAGCAGUGGGGAAUAUUGCGCAAUGGGCGAAAGCCUGACGCAGCGACGCAGCGUGAGGGAUGAAGGUCCUCGGAUCGUAAACCUCUGUCAGCAGGGAAGUACGGUCACUGUGCUAAUCAGCAGUGAAUUGACGGUACCUGCAAAGGAAGCAUCGGCUAACUCCGUGCCAGCAGCCGCGGUAAUACGGAGGGUGCGAGCGUUAAUAGGAUUUAUUGGGCGGAAAGGGCUCGUGGGCGGUAUGUUAAGUCAAGUGUGAAAUCCCCGGGCUCAACGUGGGAACUGCCUGUGAAACUGGCAAACUGGAGUGUGGGAGAGGCUGGUGGAAUUCCUGGUGUAGGGGUGAAAUCCGUAGAUAUCUGGAAGAACAUCAGUGGCGAAGGCGACUAUCUGGCACAUAACUGACGCUGAGGAGCGAAAGCGUGGGUAGCAAACAGGAUUAGAUACCCCGGUAGUC
rnacentral:rRNA from 1 species